UUCUCUUUCAUCAAGAAAGUGUUUUUCAUGAUUAUUGUAUUUAUUAUUAUUUUAUUUAAGAUUUUCUGUAUGUCCCUGAUAUCACUUUCCACCUUGUUAGUUUGUUGUAAUUCUCCAUUUAAGAAAACAACCCCUUCCUACAAUGACACCACAUUCAGGAAGUGUUAUCAUUUCUUUGGUGGGAAAACAAUUGUGCAAAGCUAAAUAAAUAUAAACACUCAGUUUUAUCAAUUUUUCCAUGUUGUUAGUCUGUAUGUACCACUCAUACAUUUCCACCCUGUUAGGCAAAAUUAUAGAGAAAAUUAACAUUUCUAAAUAUGUUUGCUAGAGAAGUUAAAAUCCUGUUCAAGUGUUCACAAUUACGCUAGCUCAAUCUUGCUCACUCACAGAUCUAUGGAUAAUUUAGGCUCCAAAUUUCCACCCUGUUAGGUUCCACCCUGUCAGGAUUGUGCACCUAACAGGUUUGAAAAAAUUAAGUGCCUGAGCUUGACCAAUAUGUUUUUCUGAAAGUCAAACAUGUUCUUUUUCUGAUAGAAUACACAUUUUUAAGAAAUAUACUUUUUCCCAAAAGUUAUGAGGUCCAAAAGACACCAUAUGGUAGGAAUGACCCAGUUAUCGCAUAUCUUUUUCUAACAAACUGUAGCUACGCCCCGCCUCUAUUACCUGUGAAAUAAUAGUGUCUGUCAAAACGGAGCAGAAAGGAUUUUCAACUGUACUUCCAAUGAUGUAUGGCCUAGGUUAAAGUAAUGUAACAGGCCACACAAACAGACUAGAUAUUACAAUUGAGAGUAACCAACCAGUCAGUAAGCAAUUCAUUUGCAAGUAUCAUAUCUCAUCGAUUUUAUAGGUUCCAAACAUAAAAUGCUGGGCACAUGCGUGCACUUACUGAUUGCACAUUGAUUAACGAUUAUCAACACCUGUGCUUUGCCAACCUGAAGCUACAAAUAUAGCUAUUAGAGAGUCCUUGAUUCAGAGGGCCUUUACCAGAGCUAGAGGUUAGAUUGAAGAGCGCCUUAGUGUGGUCGGGGUUGUGGCAGAUCAGGAUGGGAGCAGUUGUGGUACUCCUGUGUUUUACGAUUGGGACUUGUCUAGCUGGAGAAGACAAUGCAUUGAUGUUCUCUGAUGGUGCCAUGCAUAAUGACAUCCCAUAUGACACCAUCUUCAGUUCUUGGCUCACUGGGGCGCCAAACUUCCACAUAUUCAUCUCCCCAGAAUUCAGACACACAAUGGAUUUGAGACCUAUUCCAAUGUCCUCCACUUCAACCUUAACUCUCACCUGGUGGCUGACUCCUUUUGUACUGCCCAUCUCCUGCAUGACACAGAGGUUUGUCUCAAAGCUUCUACGUGUGUUUAAGUAAUGUGGGUGUUGGCUGCUGCUUAAUUAUAAUAUUGCCAUAUCUGAGGUGAGUCCCACUACACCUGUUUCAACACAAGCUCACAAGACUGGAGUCCACAAGAACUGGGGCUUUGCUGUGAAUGCGAUGAACCCAUACUGGACCAAUGCAUCUGAAACCAACAUCUAUCAAAGAGGGCAGAUCAUCCACCUCCAGGCAUCUGUGUCCACGAGGCCUGCCCCUAACCAGCAGCUCUUCACUCAGUCCUGCUUUGCUUCUACAUCCCCUGAUGCAGUGACCAGGACAAGGCUUUGGGUCAUAUUAAAUAAAGGGUGCAUAGCCUCUGUGGCAUCCCAGCAUGCUGUGGCAGAGUUUGUGGCCUUCAGGAGAGCAGAUGCAGUUAAUUUAAUCCUCAACACAUCUCUUUUGCAUUCACCGACCUAUGUGCACUGCGGUGUGAUCAUCUCUAACCAUGGUGUGUCUCCAGAUGCUAAGUCGUGCAACUAAAACAAGAUCAAAUCAAGAUGCUCAAGCCAUUGUGAGCAGUGGUCCCCUGAUAGUUGUGGAUGGAGAGACCAAGCCUCAGGCUUCAGCCCAUCAGCAGGAUUUCUCCUCCAGCCCUCACAUGUCCAACUAUGUCCAGUCUGAUUCUAGUGAUUCAGGAAUGUAUAGGUACAAGUCCUCUCUAGUGCUACAGUUUGUCUCUGCAGCCCCUAGUGGCCCUAAAAGCUUGAUAGCAUCAGGGACUUCUGUCUCUGUCUCGUACUUUCAGGCUCUGAUCAGUCCCUACACCCAAACGAGGGCAUUGCGUUCAUCCA